UAAGGAAUAUUGAACAAUGGUCGCAAGACUGAUCCAGCCAUGCCGCGUGCAGGAAGACGGCCCUAUGGGUUGUAAACUGCUUUUGUACCAGAGAAAACCUAUCUACGUGUAGAUAGCUGAUAGUAUGGUAAGAAUAAGCAUCGGCUAACUUCGUGCCAGCAGCCGCGGUAAGACGAAGGAUGCAAGCGUUAUCCGGCUUCAUUGGGUUUAAAGGGUGCGUAGGCGGGCUUGUAAGUCAGUGGUGAAAUCUCUCAGCUUAACUGAGAAACUGCCAUUGAUACUGCAGGCCUAGAGUAUAGAUGACGUUGGCGGAAUAUGACAUGUAGUGGUGAAAUACUUAGAUAUGUCAUAGAACACCGAUUGCGAAGGCAGCUAACGAAACUAUAACUGACGCUGAGGCACGAAAGUGCGGGGAUCAAACA
rnacentral:rRNA from 1 species